rnacentral:lncRNA from 13 species
AUGUCUGAACUCUUCAGGAAAGCAGAAAGGACAGAUGAUACUGACUGCCCAGGGGACUCCAAGAUGGGAGAAAGGAGACCAAGAAGAGCGGAGAGGGUCGCUCCAAACAAUUCUCACAAGAGGCUUCUAAUCUCAGGAACAACAGAGAAUGAAAAAAAAAGAAAUGUCAAUACACAAAAGAGGUCCACGUCUCUCUCGGUGACCCCACACCAUCUCCCUCAAAAGGCUUCUGCGUUUCUCUGACUUAUUCUUGUUUGUGGACCCCAAAAAGGAUCUGGUUGCGUUUGUACAUUCAGAUUGACCAUUGACCAAGGCCUGCAUUUCCCUUGUUAAGAAAAGGAAUUAAGCCCCAGAUUGCAAAAUAUUUACAAACAAAUGAGCUUAGAGGAAAUUUUCAAAACCAGCCUUAGACAAAAGUGACAAUUACAGAUGGUCAAGAUGUUGAAAGUGAAACCAAAGAGGAUCUAGAGGAUAACAGGGUAGAACAGAACCCCUAGACCCAGUCCAAGAAGCCUGGCCACUAAAGAUGAAACGUUUCUGACCCAUUAUUGGAUCUGGCUGAUGUUUCACUGGCUGUCUCAUCAUCAGGGUUUAUGUGAAAGGAGAUGAUUUCAGUUCCUCCUUUAAUGGUACAGGGACCUUGGCAAGGUCACUUGACGUGCAUGUGUGUCUCUCGGAAUCUUCUACAACCAUCUGUGAGAGACAGAGCCGCAGAUUUUAAAUGUAAAGAUCGGGCAAAUUGUGUUGUGUCCAGGAAAACGCUGCCAUGAUAGGCUUAUUGUUGUCGUUAUGACCAUUAUUUUUCUGCCAACAUCUUUCAUUGCCUCUCGGUGUUUUUGUGAAACAAAAGAACCCAGCUGAGACUUCCACAAAGAAGAAUGCAGGGAAAGGGGAAAGGGGAGAGAAUACCUUGAGCAAGAAUAGCUUGGAAGGAGCCAAAAGUGGAAAAGGAAGUCUAAUUCUGUCCUAGUCCAGGGGGAAAAAGGUUUUUUGAGAAAUGUAAACAAAUCAGGAAAUCCUGGCACUUACUCCAGUUCCGAUCUGGGGAGACACACAGGUCCUUUCCCGAGGAGGGAGCUGCUGUUUGUGAAUGAAAUCCAGAUAAAGUUCUUCAUUGAGCCCUGCCAGCCCCACAGUUUCCAGCUUUCUUUUUGCCUUUGGCAUAGCUUAAACCUUAAAAUAAUAAUAAUAAAAAAACACAU